GAUGAACGCUGACAGAAUGCUUAACACAUGCAAGUCAACUUGAACUUCGGUUUGGGUGGCGGACGGGUGAGUAACGCGUAAAGAACUUGCCUCACAGCUAGGGACAACAUUUGGAAACGAAUGCUAAUACCUGAUAUUAUGAUUUUAGGGCAUCCUAGAAUUAUGAAAGCUAUAUGCGCUGUGAGAGAGCUUUGCGUCCCAUUAGCUAGUUGGAGAGGUAACGGCUCACCAAGGCGAUGAUGGGUAGCCGGCCUGAGAGGGUGAACGGCCACAAGGGGACGGAGACACGGCCCUUACUCCUACGGGAGGCAGCAGGGGGGAAUAUUGGACAAUGGACCAAGAGUCUGAUCCAGCAAUUCUGUGUGCACGAUGAAGUUUUUCGGAAUGUAAAGUGCUUUCAGUUGGGAAGAAAAAAAUGACGGUACCAACAGAAGAAGUGACGGCUAAAUACGUG
rnacentral:rRNA from 1 species